GGGCUUGGUUCAGCAGCACAAAUACUAUAAUUGGAACAGUGCAGAGAAGAUGGACACAACCCCUGAUCAAAUAUGACAUGCAAAUUUGUGAAGCAUUUCUAUUCUCU